GCGGGGGUAGCCAAGUCAGGUCAAAGGCGUGAGGUUUAGGACCUCAUCCCGAAGGGGUUCGCAGGUUCGAAUCCUGUCCCCCGCACCA
rnacentral:tRNA from 2 species